UGGGGGUGAGGAAAGGCAGAGGGGACUUAUCUGGUAAUUCUAUCAAAGUAUCGUCCUUUGUGUACUGAGUUUAUUAAAUGAGUUACUACAAGGGCCAGCAUGUUUAUUAAUUUCUGUCUACGCUCAAAUUUUUUAAACAUGGUAACCUGAUGCAUAGGCAAGUUUUGAUCUUUGUUUUCUCUUUCAGAACUUGAAAAUAACAUUUUCUGAUCCCCAAUAGAUUAAUGGCUGAAGGAUCAACCUCAUUCUCAGAUGAACUUCACGUGUCCAUUGUGUGUCCAUUUGACUUAUUCUACAAAAUGUUCCAGCUUUGCUAUGAACCUCAGGAUCAUGACACUCUUCUCUCCUAAGGUGACUUCACCCAGGAAAUGCACCUGGUUCACUCCCUGAGCCCGUAGCCACCUGUGGUUCGAAGCCUUGACCUCGCUCACCAGUCCCAGGACUUCACCAGCAGCUCGGGCAAAGACAACAGGUCUCCCUUGAGCGGCGGGACAGUUUGAUUUGAAUCUUUAUAAAAAGAUAUUCUCUAAAGGACAUGGCCCCAGCCACUGUGGGUGGGCAGGAGAGGGAGAUGGCGAUCACAGACACAGUGACCAUGGUCUAGAAAGGACGGCACGCUGGGUAAACCUGCCAGAGGGCACAUGGAGUUUGCCCAAGCAGCGCUGGCCGAUGGUGAGCUCAGAAACCUUGGCAACGCCACAGAACCAGUAUUCUUACAGAAGUGGCUCAGGCCUGUCUCGAACAACGUGCUCAGUGUGCAAGACCCAGGCAGCUCGCUGUCGGGAUCCAGCAAGGGCACCUCUUCCUCCACCUCUUCUGAGCAAGCAGGCUGGGGCAGAAGCUGGAGUGAAGGUUGGGAGAGAGGAGGGCCAGCGGGAGGCAGGGACAAGGACGGCCACCUCUCGGCACUGCGGCGGCCUCCCUCGGCUCAGAGCAAAGCAGCUGCAGCACCCCCCGAUACAGCCCCUGGCCAGCUGCAGCCCGAGUGAGCCACCCCUUGAAGGCCACAGCACCCUCCUGCCCCUCGUCCCAGCCCCGGCACCUCUGCACUUCACGGCCAGGGCGACACCCGCAGCACCAGCCUGCACCCCGCUCCGCCCACCUGUUUCCUGGGGGGACUUCGGUGCCCCUCCUUGUUUAUGGAUAUCCUUUCUUCCCAAAGUCCGUAUCUUUUCCGGGGAGUGGGAGGAAGAAGCCAAGAGUUUGACCCCCCGGUCCACAGCAUAUCAGGUGGACACGGCUAGCAGCCCUGGCCGUGCACACCCCGGAGGUGGGCAGCUCAGGGCCCUAGGUCAGGGUUGAAGGCCAGGAGAGGGGUCACGAGACCAUAUCAGGGCUGCCAUAGCAAAGUCCCACCAGUGGGGUGGCUGCAGGUGGGUCUUCUCUCAGGGUUCUGGAGGCCAGAAGUCCAAGGUCAGGUGUGGGCAGCCCACGCUCCCUCUGAAGCCUCAGGUAGAAGCCGUCCUUGCCUCUUCCAGAUCCUGAACGGCCAGCCAUCCUCAGCUCAUGGCUGUGGCACUUUGGUCUCUGCCACCAUUGUCACAUGAUGUUCCCUCUCCCAUCUCUGUGUCUUCUCCUCUUCUUAUAAGGACACCAAUCAUACUGAAGCAGGAGUGCCCUCCUCCAACAGGGCCUCAUCUUAACUAAUCACGUCUGCAAUCCUAUUUCCAAAUCAGGUCACAUUCCAGUGACCUCCCGCGCCUGCCUCGGCACACUGCUGAUGCUGUUCCUCCUUCCGGAAAUGCCCUUCCCCUCUCUUGCUGCAUGUCUGCAAAGCACAUUCACAGUAACUGCUUAGAUGCCCUCUUCUCCCUGGAUCUCCUCGUAUGGCCCCAAUUCAGAGAAAGAGCUCCACGGUUCCUAAGUUCUCUCAAGGGAAUUUGUAUGUUCUACUUUAUGUCAAAACAAUAAAUCACUCUAUUUCUCUCA